UGUCUCCGGUCCGCAAACGGCAAACCCAAUUUACAAACUUGCAAAAAACGCUUUCUAAAACACUGUCGCAAACUCGCGAAGCUGUGAAUACACUGGGAAAAUUCUAGAAAGAUUUGUGAGUCUGCAGUUGAAGGUGUAACGAAUCAACGAUGCUAAAUCUCCCUGUCGUGGAGCCGCCGGCGCGGCAGAUCACGCAGUGGUUGUGGUGGCGGAGACGGAAGCUAUGGUUCUAUCUUAUUUCAACGAAGCUUAAGGGCUGAUUUCCAACAAAUUAGGCUACUGGCAUUCAAGCAAUCUAUUAUUGUCGACGAAGAUCUAAAUCAGGCAGAUGUUUUAAGAAAUAAUCCAACUUCUUCAUAAUUACACACUUUUGACGUUAUGCCCAUUCUUGAUCACAUCAGCCUCCUCUACAUAUUAGUAUCGUAAAGAUGGCUCUAAUCUCUUCUGUGAGUCUUGUCCACGCUAUUUUAUUUCAAUGUUUUGACACAGGUUUGUUAUUGUAUCAAGUCUACUGGCACAACUUGGACUCUCCAUGGAUGAUGGUGGUGGGCAUAAUACCUUCACACUUCAUGGAAUAGAUAAAUGGAUCAUCCAAGUAUCACUAAUAUUAGGUAGUAUUCUAACACUGGUUCUUAUUUUUUUUAUUAGACGUUUUUGCAAUAAAAGGCAACAACCUACACCAAGUAUCCAACUCCCUAAUCUUCCCCCGUCCCAAGUGCCUGAAACUUCUACCAACCCCUCUAAUACUCUUCCAGAAACCUAUGUCUUACGUAGAUUACCGGAAGAGAUUUAUAGGCGUUUUCCGGUAGAUACAUAUUCAACUGAACGUUGUAAUGACUUCAGUCAUAUAGAUUGUAUGAUUUGUAAUUUUUCUUUUGUUGAUGGGGAGGAGCUGUGCAUCCUUCCUGUUUGCCGCCAUGUUUUUCAUUCUCACUGUACUAGCUCAUGGUUUUUAAACCAUGAUUGUCGUUGUACAUUGUGUCGUCAUGAUUAUUUUGACGGUUUUAGUGAUGACCAAUUAGUAUAGUGUAAAAAGAGUUAUUUUUGUUGUACUCUGUACAUGCAUAAGUAAAUUUUAUCAUUUUAAUAAAUCAUAUUUAUCGACUCUGUGUGAUA